rnacentral:snRNA from 9 species
CAAAAGGGUGUUUGCCGCUUGGAUGGCACGCGGCCCCUCGGGGUCGUGGGGUAUGGUUAUCAAGACAUACUCAACACAUAAUUUUUGUCGAGAGGAAGCAGUUGGCUACCUGCGUACCGGCGCUUCC